rnacentral:rRNA from 1 species
UACGAAGGGGGCUAGCGUUGCUCGGAAUGACUGGGCGUAAAGGGCGCGUAGGCGGCCUGGACAGUCGGAUGUGAAAUUCCUGGGCUCAACCUGGGGGCUGCAUCCGAGACGUUUGGGCUGGAGUGGGGAAGAGGGUCGUGGAAUUCCCAGUGUAGAGGUGAAAUUCGUAGAUAUUGGGAAGAACACCGGUGGCGAAGGCGGCGACCUGGUCCUUGACUGACGCUGAGGCGCGAAAGCGUGGGGGGAGCAAACAGGAUUAGAUACCCUGGUAGUCCACGCCGUAAACGAUGUGUGCUGGAUGUUGGGCGGCCUAGCCGUUCAGUGUCGAAGCUAACGCGGUAAGCACACCGCCUGGGGAGUACGGCCGCAAGGUUGAAACUC